CCAGGCUGUGCCAGGAAGUGCAGGAUCGCCUCGUGGGUGGCCAGCCUGGGGCCCGGCCCUCCCCGGAUCCGAUGCUCCUCUCCGCACGUCCCGGUUCCCGGCAGAGUCAGAUAUGGUCCCGGACAGUCUGGAAUCACAGCAUUCUGUCAAACACACACCACCACUUCUGACUUAUUUGCUACAAUGGGGUUUUGCUAACUUUGGUCUGGACUGGCCUCUGACUGCAUUUCUUCCAAACACUGCCUCCUAAGUAGCUAGAACUACAGGGAUUAGCCACCAUGCUUGGCUAUAUAAUUAUUUUUCUAGCUUUUAUUUCAACGAAAUUGCUAAUUGUGUUGCUUUUAACUAAGGUUUUUACAUAAUUUGUGUCUGAUCAUGUAAAGCAAUUCAACUCUGCUUUCUAGAGGGCAAAAAUCAAUUUUAAAUUCCAAAGUAAUGAAUAUCAAAAUCUCAAAACUUAACUAAGUACGUAGAAAACCUUAAAAACUUGGAAAUUUAAUGAAAUGUUAGAAAACAUUAAACUAAAAUGAUUUUCACUUUUAAUAAUCUUGUCACCUUGGGAUAGCAACACACUUCAUAUGUUUUGCCCAAAUCAACAUAAAUGCAAAUUUAAGUCAUAUGUAUCUUUGAAUCUUACCAAAUGUCUCUUAGUAUUUGUGUGCCAGUGUAAAAGUUGCCCUGAUAUCUACAUAGUUGGGGGGCAGGAAAUGGAUCACAAAAGAGAAAUUGAGAGCAUGGGUACUAAGAUGACCAGAACAUAUUAUGCUCAGGAAUCCAUUUUUGAAAUUUGAAGGAGAAGCUGAGACAGGUUAGUACAUUUAUUUCUUCUUUGAAUACUUUUGGCCAAAAGAUUCUACCUUGAUCCCAAGGCGACAUUGCUCCCCAACUUGCAAACCUUGACUAUUCGAGGCCACAACAAGACAUGGGAAGAGGUGUUCUUGGGGUCUGUAGGGUAUUGCUCCCAGAGCAGAUGUUUAGGCAGAUGUAGGCCAUGCUGAGCCACCACUGUGAACCAGCACUGACUUACACAGCAGUUGAGUGUCCUUCAAUCAAUUCAUGUUUCCAACCUGUGACACACAGUGUACUGGAAAGUAGAAAGCCAAGGGCACAGUCUUCUCCUGCCCAGGACUUAGAGAGGUGCUUGCCAGGGGCUAGACAUUCUAGGUGCCAGGAAAAGAGAAAAUGAGACCAUGAGACCUUUCCUUAGCUAACAUCUAAAGCUAACCUGGGUCAGAACUGCUUGUGUCUGCCUCUUGUCUUUUCUUUUCUGUUCAGUUCUUUUCUGUUCUUCUCUUUUCUUUCUUCUCUCUCUCUCUCUCUCUCUCUCUCUCUCUCUCUCUCUCUCUCUCUCUCUCUCAUGAGGGAGAAAUUGGGGUUCAGGGGACACUGAGGGCCAUAAAGUCAAAGGCAUUGAACAUUUGAAAUAGAAGCCCCUGAAAAGAAAAGAAAAUGUUUCCAGUACACAGAAAUAAGUGUUCAUGAAUGUUAAUUUAUUGAAUCUACAUAUAAUGCUAAGAAGUAGGUAGUAUAAUUAUCAAGGUCCUACAGAUGAAGAAAGUGAAGCACAGGGAAGCUAAUUCCCAGGGUGGUUCAGAACUCAAAGGUGCUCACCAUUAUGUCAGACAGGCGAGACUCGAACUUAGCUAUUCAGAUUCCCCAGCGCUUUCUUUUAACCUCAAAUUACAGUGUGUAUUUCUUAUUAUUAAUACUAAUAAAUGUUACUGUUUUCUUUCCUGUA